ACUGAUUCUUAGCUUGAGCACUCAAGUGUGAUGUGAGAGGCUGGGUUCUGCUUUGUUUGGUUGCAGAUUCUUCUUCCUCACAUGGCUGAGUAUGAUAUGUUGCGACCUUCAGUACCUAUCCUGUGUCUUUUAAGGACUUCCUCAGCCAGGGAACACAUUCGUUGGUUUAAGAGUAACUGUAAAGAGUCUGCAAGAGCUUCCAUCAUCCAUCGAUAGAAGAAUUAAACUUUGCUGCACUCCAGCUAGCUAGGGAAGCAUGCGGGUUGGUUGGCUGUCCUGGCUGGAUUCUUCUGAAGAGCUUCCUUCCAUGCUUCAUGUUCUUCCCUUGUUUGAGUAACUGUGAAGGAGAGGAAUGGGAUGAGAUGCCUCCAAUAUGAAUUUGAUAAUUCUUCUACUUUCCUGUUAGGUUUGAGAGCAGAGCCUUGUGGCUCUGAUCAAAAUGUAUGGCAAACACUUCAUAGGCAGUCCUUGUCCAGAGAGCCUGGCCAUGCAUGCAGAGGGAGGACUGGAGGGGGGAGAGGUACAGUCAGGAGACGUGUCGUGGGGUGCAGCAGGAGAAGGAUGGAGCCAUUGCUGCCAAGUCGGGGCAGUUUUUCAGUUGGCACAAAAAAAUCAGUAAUUUUAACUGAGUAAAUACUAAUUUUGUUUCCAGGACAAAAAGAAUAGUUAGUGUGAAGAAUGUGUAAAUUUCCCGUGUAUUUCUAGUGAAUAUUUAAUAUAAUGCAAUUAGAGGCUGGCUAAGAAUUAUACAGCUUUUAAAAACCAACAAAUAAAUGGACUCCUGUUUUCAUGAUGUGAUUCACCCAUCUAAAAUUACUUCUGAAAUUCGAGUUAAAAAGCAUGAUCUGGAAUGCUCAAAACCUGUUUCAGAACGUUGUCCUUGGGCUCAGCCUGCAUCACCUGGGUUCAGGGUGGGACACCAAAGGUGUGCAUCGUGCAAAAACCCAUAUAAACAGUGCAAUCUAAGUUAAUGUGGCAUUAAUUAAGAACUAGGAACACUUGUUUAAUUAUAACUGUUUUGCAACAAAGCACACGGCUUAGUGUUGCAGAAGGUUUGUCAGACACAGAGUAUAUUAGGCAAAAGUAUCUGGUUUACCUGAUGUGAAGUCUUAUAUCUGAAAGGAAUACAGCUUUGUUAGUCUGGUGUUCUGCUUGGGCUAAUUUAUCUUAAUUGAGAUAUAGCCUGACUAUUCCAAUGCAGUACCAUAUGAACCUAUCUUCAGUAGAAGAAAUUCAAACAAGCAACUCUUCAAAUCAUUCUCAAUUCAGGGUUUUGUAAAUACGUGACCAAGAAUAACUGCUUGUGUCCUUUGCACAGCAUCCAUGCAAGUAGCUGUAAAAUCACAAAAUAAUAUCAUUAGACAAUUGGUUUUGGCAAACUCGGAUCAACUGGGUAAGAGAAGGAGAAUCAGUGGGGUUGAUAUAGAUCACUGUUAUUUACUCGCUUGGGUAAAUUAAUUUUUCCAGUAAUUAAGACAAAAAGUACCCCAAGUGCGGGGUGUUUUUUCCUUUUCCCUCAGCAUGCCUUUACGUACAGUACCUGACUCAUAAUGGGACUCCUAUGCAGUGCUUCUGAAUAGUUGCAGUUUCAAACUGAAAUUACAAUCUUUAAGCACAAAAAGUAUUAAGGGAAACUAAAAAAAUCAAGUAGGAAUUAUUAUGAACUUGUCUGGUCCAUGUUCAGUGUUUAUUCCUAAAGUAUGAUGCCUCAUAUACUUCACUGUUGGAAAGUUCUCUUUUGGACUGUAAUAUCCUCUUCCCUCAUAAGUAGUUGACUGUUGCAGCACCCUUUGUAUUUGCUUCAGCUUUUUGCUAUAUGCGAUAGUGGCUUUCGUACUGACUUGUGCUUGGCAGCAGGCUGACGCCAUCAAAAAGAAAUGCAAGUCUUAAAAACGCUCAUUUUCGGAAUCCUGAUUGGUGAGUGUGCUGGUGGUGCUCAUGGAAGUACAAUUUGCAAAUAGCGGUUCUUGUCAAUCACAGCGAUGUGCCACUGCGUCUUACGUGCUUACUCAUAAGUUGUUAGCAAUCCUGUUACCUGUUUCCAAGCCCUUCUCAUCCAUCUGUGAUGCUCAAGUUCCUCUCUUUUGGGCAAUAAUAUUCACAUUUCAGAGUGAUGCAUCUAAUGACUGGGCUCGCUUUGAGGGCACAGCGCCAUGUAAUGGUGGAAUAGAGUGUCACAGUGCCUUGGAUAACUGAGUCAGUCAGCAUGAGAAGAACAAAACCUUUGUGUGGUGGAAAAGAAAAUGGAGAGCGAGAGCUAUGCUACUGAAGAAAGCAGCCCCUCAUAGGCUAUUUGUGAAGAAAGGUCUUCUUGCAUCAUAUUCGUAUGGGUUGAGAGUGGUUUUAUGGGCUCUGUGAUCACAUUACAUGCUCCUUAUGCCCCUCAAGUAAUCUUUUUGGAUUCUGCAGCCAUGUUUCCUGUGAAGUCUUCUAAAAUAUUCCAGUAGACUGCCCAGUGUACGCUGCAGUGCUUUAUUCUCAGCUUCAGGAAGAACUGUCUCAGAUGUUACUCAAAAGCACCUCACCCCUACAGUCUUGCAUCACUGGGGUCAGGGUUUAAAUGUCAAUAUGAUUACCAUUUGAGCAUCUUCGUCUCCCAGAAGUUCAAUUCUGUCCUAAAGUGCUAGCUUAGGAAUGGCAUUGAUAUUCAGAAGGAGCUACAAAUGCAUCAGAGAUCAGAUGGAAAAUAUGUAUAUAAUGUAUCACUGUAUUGCAUGUGGCAGCUAGGCGUAGUAAUGGAGUAAUGCUUUAAUAUGUACAGUAUAUUUAUUAUACAGUCAAGUGGAAAAAAAGUGGAUGUUUCUAUUUAUCAGUUCUUUUUUGUCUUGGGUGUUUCUAUCUUUGACUGAUACAAAUAUUUUGGAAUCUAAACAUAUCUCC
ensembl:lncRNA